rnacentral:pre_miRNA from 1 species
AUAGUAUUUCCUCCGUCCAGAAUUGCUUGUCAUAAAAAUGAAUGUAUCAAGACAUAGUUUAGUUCUAGAUACAUCCAUUUGUGACAAGUAAUUACGGAUGGAGGGAGUAGUAA